UUUCCUGUUAGACUUCUGGCUAGAGUCCACUAAUCCUCUGGUACCUGAUCUGGCCAAAGCCUGACUAUAAC
rfam:Rattus norvegicus chromosome 1, whole genome shotgun sequence.